UCAGUAAAGCAGAGAACAAAUAAAAAUAAGAAAACUCCAAAGGAGACAUGAAGACAAGAAAACAAAGUGCUACAAAAACAAAGAACGAACCAGACACCAACACUUAACUGUACUUAUUACUAAACUUACUCUCUCUCUCUCUCUCUCUCUCUCUUUAUCUUCCGGAGUGCUCUAUCUUAAAAUCUGAGGUCGUAGCUGGAAUCAGUUUCAUUCAAUAGCCUCUGAGCCACCCCCAAAGAUGAUUCCAAUGGAUAAUCACUUUGUGCCGCCGAGCACUAGCACCACCGGUCUUGUAUUCCCGGCGAUUUACGCUGCCUCCGGGUUACAGCCACCUGUGGAUACUUUGGCUUCUGUGGCUGGAGUCAAAUCUGAAGCUGCUUUGGUCAUGGAUUGGUCCCCUGAGGAGCAGUUUGUACUGGAGAACAGCCUUGCAAAAUUAACAAAUAAACCGAAGAUUUCAAAGUAUGUAAAGAUUGCUGCAACACUACCAGAUAAAACUGUGAGGGAUGUAGCAUUGAGGUGUAGAUGGAUGUCGGGAAAACGGAGAAAAAGAAAAGAAAAUAGUGCUGGGAAGAACGUUUACAAUAGAAAGGUGGUGGAUACAUCCCCAGAACUGAGCAUGUUAGCCAAUGUGCCACAACAAAAUGCUUUAUAUGUCAUGAACAAUAUGUGCCACAGUACACACAUGCCUCGUGAAGGUUUAAGUGAUGCAGUAAUGGAUCUUCUACAGCAAAACGCUCAAGCGUUUAGUCAAAUUUCAUACAACCUCUCUGUGUGCAAGCUGCAGGAUAACAUCAGUCUCUUUGAUCAGACAAGAAAUAACAUCAGCGCCAUUCUGACUAAUAUGAAGGAGAUGCCAGGUAUCAUGAGCAGGAUGUCGGCUCUACCUGUUACAGUUAACGAUGAUCUUGCAAGCCAUUUAUUGUCGAGUACAACACAGCCAACAUCAUACACCAUUCACCCAAGCAGCCACCUGAAGCAAGAGCCGAGAAUUUGAUGGGGAAAAGCUGGAUUUUGACGGAUGCUAAAGGAAACAGCACUAGUACCUGGUAAGUGAUGGACAUGACAUGACAUGACACAGACACAAGGGUUAUGAACUGCAGACACCUCUCCAAAUCACACACGGGAUUGACAAUCGGCACUGGUGGAAUACUUGUGCUCUGGGGGGAGUUUGACUGAGAAGAAUGAACUACAGGCCGAGGGACCCUUACUUUUAAGACAGACAACAGUGUAACUUCGAGACUAUAAUGGCUUGUAACUCAUAACACAGCUUAGCAAGGUGGCAGAGGAAACUAUUACAGCCGGUUUAUGCAGUUUUCCAAGAAGACAAGGGUGGAGUUUCAGAGUUCUUGUAGGUAACUAUAUAAGUAGCUGAUCUUUCCCCUUUCACAGAAUCUGGACGUCCCAUGGCUUCAAGCUCAGCCAUCUCUUGGCUUGUGAGUUUCACAGAUAAAGCUCCAAUGUUCUGAUUAAGGUUUUUGAUCUUGGAGGUUCCUGGAAAGGGGCAGACAUCAUCUCCUUGGUUGGUGAACCCAUGCGAGUGCUAGUUGUACAGGAGUGCAGCUUUUCUUUUCCGCCAUUGCAUUUACCUUCUCAUAGAGAAUCUUGUUGUGGUCUUAGUUCUCUUGUUGGAAUCUCGGUAAGCCCUGGAAUAUAGCAAAACAUAGUCUUAGUAUAACAUUCAUAAUAAGAUUUUGAUACUCCAUGAAUCCAUGUUGCCUUUCUGUAGUUAGCAUUGUCUAUAUUCUCAAUGAGCUUUGGCCCUUUAGCAAAGAAGCCUAGUCCCAGAGGACUGUAAGCUACAAUUCCAAUCCCAAGUUCCCUGCAAGUAGGAAUGAUAUCUUCUUCAACAUCUCUGGACCAUAAAGACCAUUCUAGCUGCACGGCGGUGAGCGGGUGAACAGCAUGAGCUCUCCUUAUAGUCGAAGCAGAGGCUUCAGAGAGACCAAUGUACUUUAUCUUACCCUAUUCAACCAGCUUCUUCAGCUCUCCCAUCUUUGAAAUCACAAUGUGAACCUUUCCCAAAAGCAACUCGUUGAUCUCGGGACCGUAGACGUCAGAGGUGUCUAGGAGCGUGAUGCCAGAGUUGAUGGCAUGGUGAAUGAGAGCAAUGUGAUCUGCUUCCAACUUGUCAGCUCCGUCCGAGAUGGAAAGUCCCAUACAACCAAGACCUUGCGCUGAUACUUCAAAACCUUGGUUUCCUAGCUUGAUCCUCCGCACUUCACCAGCAGCCGCCAUUGAUUGAUUAAUUGAUCUCUGGAGAUAGAGAGACUCUUUAAAUUUGAAAGCUGUUUCAGGAGGGAUUUAUAAGAGUGGAUUUACAAGCCUUGAAAUGGCUUCAAGAACUAAUCCAAUAUGUCAAACAAGGAAUAUAAAAGUCUUGUUAACGUGUUCUAUUUUGAUUUGUCUAAAAAAGGUUUGCUUU